GAGACAGCAGCCGCGGGAAUACGUAGGGUGCGAGCGUUAAUCGGAAUUACUGGGCGUAAAGCGUGCGCAGGCGGUUCGUUAAGACAGAUGUGAAAUCCCCGGGCUUAACCUGGGAACUGCAUUUGUGACUGGCGAGCUAGAGUAUGGCAGAGGGGGGUAGAAUUCCACGUGUAGCAGUGAAAUGCGUAGAGAUGUGGAGGAAUACCGAUGGCGAAGGCAGCCCCCUGGGCCAAUACUGACGCUCAUGCACGAAAGCGUAGGGAGCAAACAGGAUUAGAUACCCCCGUAGUCCCUGUCUCUUAUACACA
rnacentral:rRNA from 1 species